rnacentral:rRNA from 1 species
GACGAACGCUGGCGGCGUGCCUAAUACAUGCAAGUCGAACGCACAGUUUAUACCUUAGCUUGCUACACCAUAGACUGUGAGUUGCGAACGGGUGAGUAACGCGUAGGUAACCUGCCUGGUAGCGGGUGAUAACUAUUGGAAACGAUAGCUAAUACCGCAUAAUAUUAAUUAUUGCAUGAUAAUUAAUUGAAAGGUGCAAUUGCACCACUACCAGAUGGACCUGCGUUGUAUUAGCUAGUAGGUGAGGUAACGGCUCACCUAGGCGACGAUACAUAGCCGACCUGGGAGGGUGAUCGGCCACACUGGGACUGAGACCCAGCCCAGACUCCUUCAGGAGGCAGCAGUAGGGAAUCUUCGGCAAUGGACGGAAGUCUGACCGAGCAACGCCGCGUGAGUGAAGAAGGGUUUCGGAUCGUAAAGCUCGAUUGUAAGAGAAGAACGGGUGUGAGAGUGGAAAGUUCACACUGCGACGGUAUCUUACCAGAAAGGGACGGCUAACUACGUG